rnacentral:rRNA from 1 species
AUUGAACGCUGGCGGCAGGCUUAACACAUGCAAGUCGAGCGGAGAUGAGGUGCUUGCACCUUCUCUUAGCGGCGGACGGGUGCGUAAUGCUUAGGAAUCUGCCUAUUAGUGGGGGACAACAUUCCGAAAGGAAUGCUAAUACCGCAUACGUCCUACGGGAGAAAGCAGGGGAUCUUCGGACCUUGCGCUAAUAGAUGAGCCUAAGUCGGAUUAGCUAGUUGGUGGGGUAAAGGCCUACCAAGGCGAAGAUCUGUAGCGGGUCUGAGAGGAUGUACCGGAAAAAUGGGAAUGAGACACGGCCCAGAAUCCUCCGGGAGGCAGCAGUGGGGAAUAUUGGACAAUGGGGGAAACCCUGAUCCAGCCAUGCCGUGUGUGUGAAGAAGGCCUUAUGGUUGUAAAGCACUUUAAGCGAGGAGGAGGCUACUGAGACUAAUACUCUUGGAUAGUGGACGUUACUCGCAGAAUAAGCACCGGCUAACUCUGUGCCAGCCGCCGCAGUAA